UCUUGGUGUCUUGUCAUCAGACGAAUGCAGGGAACAUAUCCAAGUCUUACAGUAAAUACAAAGGCACGCAGGUCGUGUGUGUGUGUGUGUGUGUGUGUGCGUGUGUGUGUGUGUUGCUUUCUCUAGAAGUUCCUCUGCCGCUUUAUUGAUUGCUUGUCCCGCUUUGUGGCAGGAAAUGAGAUGGUGGGUCUCGACACCUGUGUGACCCCAGCCACAGAGAUCCUCUAAUGAUCUGAACUCGGCUGCCUGGGUCUCGUGCUGCAUCCGGUUCCUCCGGGUUCCUCACUCGUCUCCGACCUGAUCAAUAGCGCACCCAUCAGCCUCUCAGAAGACAGUGUGUUUUCAACCCUGGAACAAAGGUGUCUGCGGCGGCUGGAUGAAAACUGCGACAACUGAUGAAGAUGACCUGUCAAACUCCACAAUCAGCGAAAACAACGUGCAUAGGCGGGUUUGAGGAGGAGCUGGGGGGG